rnacentral:rRNA from 1 species
GACAGAGGUGCCGAGCGUUAGGCGGAAUCACUGGGCUUAAAGGGCGCGUAGGCGGGCUGUCAAGUUUGGGGUGAAAUCCCGCGGCUCAACCGUGGAACUGCCUCAAAUACUGACGGUCUCGAGGGAGGUAGGGGCGAGCGGAACUGAUGGUGGAGCGGUGAAAUGCGUUGAUAUCAUCAGGAACUCCGGUGGCGAAGGCGGCUCGCUGGACCUCUUCUGACGCUGAGGCGCGAAAGCUAGGGGAGCAAACGGG